GACUGCAGUCUGCAACUCGACUGCACGAAGCUGGAAUCGCUAGUAAUCGCGGAUCAGCACGCCGCGGUGAAUACGUUCCCGGGCCUUGUACACACCGCCCGUCACACCAUGGAAGUCUGCAAUGCCCGAAGCCGGUGGCCUAACCACUUAUGUGGAAGGAGCCGUCUAAGGCAGGGCAGAUGACUGGGGUGAAGUCGUAACAAGGUAAC
rnacentral:rRNA from 1 species